GAUGAACGCUGGCGGCGUGCUUAACACAUGCAAGUCGAACGGAAAGGCUCCUGCCUGCCGGGGUACUCGAGUGGCGAACGGGUGAGUAACACGUGGGUGAUCUGCCCUGUACUUCGGGAUAAGCUUGGGAAACUGGGUCUAAUACCGGAUAUGACAAUCUCUUGGAUGGGGUUGUGGAAAGCUUUUGCGGUAUGGGAUGAGCUCGCGGCCUAUCAGCUUGUUGGUGGGGUAAUGGCCUACCAAGGCGUCGACGGGUAGCCGGCCUGAGAGGGUGUACGGCCACAUUGGGACUGAGAUACGGCCCAGACUCCUACGGGAGGCAGCAGUGGGGAAUAUUGCACAAUGGGCGCAAGCCUGAUGCAGCGACGCCGCGUGGGGGAUGACGGCCUUCGGGUUGUAAACUCCUUUCACCAUCGACGAAGGUUUUCUGACGGUAGAUGGAGAAGAAGCACCGGCUAACUACGUG
rnacentral:rRNA from 1 species